rnacentral:rRNA from 1 species
GCCGCGUGUAGGAUGAAGGCCCUCGGGUUGUAAACUACUUUUGUACGGAACGAAAAGCUCUCUUCUAAUAAAGGAGAGUGAUGACGGUACCGUAAGAAUAAGCACCGGCUAACUACGUGCCAGCAGCCGCGGUAAUACGUAGGGUGCGAGCGUUAAUCGGAAUUACUGGGCGUAAAGCGUGCGCAGGCGGUUAUGUAAGACAGAGGUGAAAUCCCCGGGCUCAACCUGGGAACGGCCUUUGUGACUGCAUAGCUGGAGUACGGUAGAGGGGGAUGGAAUUCCGCGUGUAGCAGUGAAAUGCGUAGAUAUGCGGAGGAACACCGAUGGCGAAGGCAAUCCCCUGGACCUGUACUGACGCUCAUGCACGAAAGCGUGGGGAGCAAACAGGAUUAGAUACCCUGGUAGUCCACGCCCUAAACGAUGUCAACUGGUUGUUGGGAAUUAACUUUCUCAGUAACGAAGCUAACGCGUGAAGUUGACCGCCUGGGGAGUACGGCCGCAAGGUUGAAACUCACAGGAAUUGACGGGGACCCGCACAAGCGGUGGAUGAUGUGGUUUAAUUCCAUGCAACGGCGAAAAACCUUACCCACCUUUGACAUGAUACGGAAGUGACCAGAGA